rnacentral:misc_RNA from 1 species
GAUGAAGAACGUAGCGAAAUGCGAUAAGUAAUGUGAAUUGCAGAAUUCAGUGAAUCAUCGAAUCUUUGAACGCACAUUGCGCCCGCCAGUAUUCUGGCGGGCAUGCCUGUUCGAGCGUCAUUUCAACCAUCAAGCCCCCGGCUUGUGUUGGGGACCUGCGGCUGCCGCAGGCCCUGAAAACCAGUGGCGGGCUCGCUGUCACACCGAGCGUAGUAGAUUUUCAUCUCGCUCAGGGCGUGCUGCGGGUUCCGGCCGUAAAAAGCCUUAUUUACCCAAGGUUGACCUCGGAUCAGGUAGGAAGACCCGCUGAACUUGAGCAUAUCAAUAAGCGGAGGA